UUUGGUUAAGUUAGAAAGGGCGCACGGUGGAUGCCUUGACACUAGGAGUCGAUGAAGGACGGGACUAACGCCGAUAUGCUUCGGGGAGCUGUAAGUAAGCUUUGAUCCGAAGAUUUCCGAAUGGGGAAACCCACCAUACGUAAUGGUAUGGUAUCCUUAUCUGAAUACAUAGGGUAAGGAAGACAGACCCAGGGAACUGAAACAUCUAAGUACCUGGAGGAAGAGAAAGCAAAUGCGAUUUCCUGAGUAGCGGCGAGCGAAACGGAACAUAGCCCAAACCAAGAGGCUUGCCUCUUGGGGUUGUAGGACAUUCUAUACGGAGUUACAAAGGAACGAGGUAGACGAAGCGACCUGGAAAGGUCCGUCGUAGAGGGUAACAACCCCGUAGUCGAAACUUCGUUCUCUCUUGAAUGUAUCCUGAGUACGGCGGAACACGUGAAAUUCCGUCGGAAUCUGGGAGGACCAUCUCCCAAGGCUAAAUACUCCCUAGUGAUCGAUAGUGAACCAGUACCGUGAGGGAAAGGUGAAAAGCACCCCGGAAGGGGAGUGAAAGAGAUCCUGAAACCGUGUGCCUACAAAUAGUCAGAGCCCGUUAACGGGUGAUGGCGUGCCUUUUGUAGAAUGAACCGGCGAGUUACGAUCCCGUGCGAGGUUAAGCUGAAGAGGCGGAGCCGCAGCGAAAGCGAGUCUGAAUAGGGCGUUUAGUACGUGGUCGUAGACCCGAAACCAGGUGAUCUACCCAUGUCCAGGGUGAAGUUCAGGUAACACUGAAUGGAGGCCCGAACCCACGCACGUUGAAAAGUGCGGGGAUGAGGUGUGGGUAGUGGAGAAAUUCCAAUCGAACCUGGAGAUAGCUGGUUCUCCCCGAAAUAGCUUUAGGGCUAGCCUUAAGUGUAAGAGUCUUGGAGGUAGAGCACUGAUUGGACUAGGGGUCCUCAUCGGAUUACCGAAUUCAGUCAAACUCCGAAUGCCAAUGACUUAUCCUUAGGAGUCAGACUGCGAGUGAUAAGAUCCGUAGUCAAAAGGGAAACAGCCCAGACCGCCAGCUAAGGUCCCAAAGUGUGUAUUAAGUGGAAAAGGAUGUGGAGUUGCUUAGACAACUAGGAUGUUGGCUUAGAAGCAGCCACCAUUUAAAGAGUGCGUAAUAGCUCACUAGUCGAGUGACUCUGCGCCGAAAAUGUACCGGGGCUAAAUACACCACCGAAGCUGCGGAUUGAUACCGAAUGGUAUCAGUGGUAGGGGAGCGUUCUAAGGACAGUGAAGUCAGACCGGAAGGACUGGUGGAGUGCUUAGAAGUGAGAAUGCCGGUAUGAGUAGCGAAAGACGGGUGAGAAUCCCGUCCACCGAAUGCCUAAGGUUUCCUGAGGAAGGCUCGUCCGCUCAGGGUUAGUCAGGACCUAAGCCGAGGCCGACAGGCGUAGGCGAUGGACAACAGGUUGAUAUUCCUGUACCACCUCUUUAUCGUUUGAGCAAUGGAGGGACGCAGAAGGAUAGAAGAAGCGUGCGAUUGGUUGUGCACGUCCAAGCAGUUAGGCUGAUAAGUAGGCAAAUCCGCUUAUCGUAAAGGCUGAGCUGUGAUGGGGAAGCUCCUUAUGGAGCGAAGUCUUUGAUUCCCCGCUGCCAAGAAAAGCUUCUAGCGAGAUAAAAGGUGCCUGUACCGCAAACCGACACAGGUAGGCGAGGAGAGAAUCCUAAGGUGUGCGAGAGAACUCUGGUUAAGGAACUCGGCAAAAUGACCCCGUAACUUCGGGAGAAGGGGUGCUUUCUUAACGGAAAGCCGCAGUGAAUAGGCCCAAGCGACUGUUUAGCAAAAACACAGCUCUCUGCGAAGCCGUAAGGCGAAGUAUAGGGGGUGACACCUGCCCGGUGCUGGAAGGUUAAGGAGAGGGGUUAGCGUAAGCGAAGCUCUGAACUGAAGCCCCAGUAAACGGCGGCCGUAACUAUAACGGUCCUAAGGUAGCGAAAUUCCUUGUCGGGUAAGUUCCGACCCGCACGAAAGGUGUAACGAUUUGGGCACUGUCUCAACCAGAGACUCGGUGAAAUUAUAGUACCUGUGAAGAUGCAGGUUACCCGCGACAGGACGGAAAGACCCCGUGGAGCUUUACUGUAGCCUGAUAUUGAAUUUUGGUACAGUUUGUACAGGAUAGGCGGGAGCCUUUGAAACCGGAGCGCUAGCUUCGGUGGAGGCGCUGGUGGGAUACCGCCCUGACUGUAUUGAAAUUCUAACCUACGGGUCUUAUCGACCCGGGAGACAGUGUCAGGUGGGCAGUUUGACUGGGGCGGUCGCCUCCUAAAAUGUAACGGAGGCGCCCAAAGGUUCCCUCAGAAUGGUUGGAAAUCAUUCGUAGAGUGCAAAGGCAUAAGGGAGCUUGACUGCGAGACCUACAAGUCGAGCAGGGACGAAAGUCGGGCUUAGUGAUCCGGUGGUUCCGCAUGGAAGGGCCAUCGCUCAACGGAUAAAAGCUACCCCGGGAUAACAGGCUUAUCUCCCCCAAGAGUCCACAUCGACGGGGAGGUUUGGCACCUCGAUGUCGGCUCAUCGCAUCCUGGGGCUGUAGUCGGUCCCAAGGGUUGGGCUGUUCGCCCAUUAAAGCGGUACGCGAGCUGGGUUCAGAACGUCGUGAGACAGUUCGGUCCCUAUCCGUCGUGGGCGUAGGAAAUUUGAGAGGAGCUGUCCUUAGUACGAGAGGACCGGGAUGGACGCACCGCUGGUGUACCAGUUGUUCUGCCAAGGGCAUAGCUGGGUAGCUAUGUGCGGAAGGGAUAAGUGCUGAAAGCAUCUAAGCAUGAAGCCCCCCUCAAGAUGAGAUUUCCCAUAGCGUAAGCUAGUAAGAUCCCUGAAAGAUGAUCAGGUUGAUAGGUUCGAGGUGGAAGCAUGGUGACAUGUGGAGCUGACGAAUACUAAUAGAUCGAGGACUUAACCAUAUAA
rnacentral:rRNA from 1 species